rnacentral:rRNA from 1 species
UACGGAGGAUCCGAGCGUUAAACGGAAUUACUGGGCGUAAAGCGUGCGUAGACGGUUACAUAAGUCGGGUGUGAAAGCCCCGGGCUCAACCUGGGAAUUGCAUUCGAGACUGCGUAGCUAGGGUACGGUAGAGGGAAGCGGAAUUUCCGGUGUAGCGGUGAAAUGCGUAGAUAUCGGAAGGAACACCAGUGGCGAAAGCGGCUUCCUGGACCAGUACCGACGUUCAGGCACGAAAGCGUGGGGAGCAAACAGG